rnacentral:rRNA from 1 species
AGUGAACGCUGGCGGUAGGCCUAACACAUGCAAGUCGAACGGCAGCACAGUAAGAGCUUGCUCUUACGGGUGGCGAGUGGCGGACGGGUGAGGAAUACAUCGGAAUCUACUUUUUCGUGGGGGAUAACGUAGAGAAACUUACGCUAAUACCGCAUACGACCUACGGGUGAAAGCAGUGGAUCUUCGGACCUUGCGCGAUUGAAUGAGCCGAUGUCGGAUUAGCUAGUUGGCGGGGUAAAGGCCCACCAAGGCGACGAUCCGUAGCUGGUCUGAGAGGAUGAUCAGCCACACUGGAACUGAGACACGGUCCAGACUCCUACGGGAGGCAGCAGUGGGGAAUAUUGGACAAUGGGCGCAAGCCUGAUCCAGCCAUACCGCGUGGGUGAAGAAGGCCUUCGGGUUGUAAAGCCCUUUUGUUGGGAAAGAAAAGCAGCAGGUUAAUACCCCGCUGUUCUGACGGUACCCAAAGAAUAAGCACCGGCUAACUUCGUG